rnacentral:rRNA from 1 species
AAUGAACGUUGGCGGCGUGGAUUAGGCAUGCAAGUCGAGCGAGAACCCGCAAGGGGGACAGCGGCAAACGGGGUAGUAAUGUGUCGGAACGUGCCCCCUGGACGGGGAUAGCGGCGGGAAACUGCCGGUAAUACCCGAUGAUCUCGAGAGAGCAAAGGUGUGAUUCCGCCGGAGGAGCGGCCGACAUGGUAUUAGCUAGUUGGCGGGGUAACGGCCCACCAAGGCUGUGAUGCCUAGGGGAUGUGAGAGCAUGAUCCCCACCAUUGGGACUGAGACACUGCCCAGACACCUACGGGUGGCUGCAGUCGAGAAUCUUCGUCAAUGGGCGAAAGCCUGAACGAGCGACGCCGCGUGCGGGAUGAAGGCCCUUGGGUUGUAAACCGCUGUCGAGGGGGAUGAAGGCCUUCCGGUACUCCGGAAGGUUUGACAGAGCCCUGGAGGAAGCACGGGCUAAGUUCGUGCCAGCAGCCGCCGUAAUAC